AUAUCAUUGGUAACUCGCGAGAUUGAAAGAUAUAUCGACACGACAUAUUUUUCCUUUUUCGCGAGAAGCCGGAGAUGGCGAGAAAAACCAGCAACUGCGCCAUGUGCGAGAAUUCAAAUCAAGCUUCUAUAUGUUCUAUUUGUGUCAACUACAGGGAAAAGGAGAUGAUCAAACAAAUUGGAGAGUGGUUCAACAUGAAAAGCUUGCAAGACUGAGGGAAAAGCUCCGCCAUAGUAAAGAACAAGUUAGUCAAGGAAGAGCUAAGGUAGAGGCUUUGUCUGCUGAUCUGAAACUUAAAUAUGGAGUGCUUGAAUCUGCCCUUUCUAUGUUGGAAAAGAAUCGAGUGGAACAACUGGAGAAGUUCUACCCUAAUCUUAUAUGCACCCAGAGCUUAGGACAUGUGGCAAUUACCUCUGAGCGUCUUCAUAAACAGUCUGUGGUCAUAAAACAGAUAUGCAAGUUGUUUCCACAACGCCGGGUAGUGAUAGAGGGAGAGAGAAGGGAUGAUUGUAGUGGUCAAUAUGAUCAAAUUUGCAAUGCACGCUUACCAAGAGCACUUGAUCCCCAUUCUGUUCCAUCGGAAGCGCUUUCUACAUCUUUAGGAUACAUGGUGCAACUUCUAAAUCUUGUUGUUCACAACCUGGCUGCCCCGGCACUUCAUAACUCAGGUUUUGCGGGUUCAUGCUCUCGUAUAUGGCAAAGAGAUUCUUAUUGGGAUGCACGUCCUUCUUCGAGGAGCAACGAAUAUCCUCUUUUUAUACCUCGCCAAAAUUAUUGCUCGACAAGUGGGGAAAACUCGUGGUCUGAUAAAAGUUCAAGCAAUUUCGGUGUUGCCUCAAUGGAAUCUGACAGGAGGCCUCGUCUAGAUUCAUCUGGGAGUAGUAGCUUUAACUAUUCUUUAGGUUCUUCCCAUUCUGUUCAAACACACAAAGAUCUGCAAAAAGGAAUUUCACUUUUAAAGAAAAGUGUAGCUUGCAUCACUGCAUACUGUUACAACUCGCUAUGUUUGGAUGUCCCUAUUGAGGCAUCUACAUUUGAAGCAUUUGCAAAAUUAUUGGCUACUCUCUCAUCAUCCAAGGAAGUUCGAUCUGUUUUCUCCUUGAAAAUGGCUCGCUCUAGGACAUGCAAACAAGUUCAACAAUUGAACAAAUCUGUAUGGAAUAUGAAUUCUGCUAUUUCGUCAACUACACUACUGGAAAGUGCACAUUCUGUGCCCACAACGAGAAUUGAAAAUUAUAUGCCAAGUUCUGCUGCUAGUUUUCUUUAUCCUACUGAUUCAUCUGAUGGAAAAAGUGAGUGCUUAAUUGAAGGGUGGGAUAUUGUCGAGCAUCCCACUCUUCCUCCGCCACCAUCACAAAGUGAGGAUGUUGAGCACUGGACUCGAGCCAUGUUCAUAGAUGCUAAAAGGAAAUGAUCUUCAUCUGCAACAGACUUCUGCUUUCUGUAUGCCCCCUUUCAAUUAUGCUAUUUUUUGUCGGAGUUUGAUUAUAAGAAUUCACUCAUGCUUAUGGGAUUCGUGUCCACCAAUAUAGACUAUAUACAUGCAGCACUAAUAGUUAAUUUAGUUAAAAACUAUCUCAUUGAAUGAAGGUUGGACAGUUCGGUUCCAAGUGGUAAGUGGUUUGAGUAUGGUUAUGGACCUAACUGUCUAUUGCUUCAAGGCUAUGUACUGACACUUCAAAUUAAAGGUGUGUCCGGUGUGUGACUCGAGUUGGUGUCCAGCCCUGACAUGAUAUCGACAUAGAUGGGUUGAAGGGAGGGAAAGCUUACAUAAGAUUCUGGAGGCUAUGUAGGUAAACCGUUUCUUGGACCAUUUUAGUUCCUUCUCCCCGAUUCCAUGGCUGUAUAUUGUAGAUUAUGGACUAUUAGAAUUGUGAAUAUGUACAUAUUGAUAGAAAAGGAUUAUUUAUUUAUUUAUUUUUAAUUUUUAUUUAUAUAUGUAGCUAAAUCUCAUAAAUAACGGAUUGCAUCUAUAGCUUCAGCGUUUCAUGGUCUAGCUCCAGUUAAAGGGCUACCAAAAACGAAACAAACAUCUAAAUCAAGCAACACUGCACUAAAAAAUCAAGCUGUGGUGGAUAUUUUAUGAACCAAACUGAACUGAAUCAGUUCGGUUUCGGAAUUAUCUGUCAUUAUCUUCUUUUCAAUGCAAUUAGAGUUGGUUUAA